AUUAUAAGAUAGGGGUUAAUGUGUUAAUAAUCACCUAACCUAAACCUUGCAUCUACACCCCCUAACCCUAUAAAUCAUUGACCCAUAAACCAUAACCCUUCUAAAGACACAAUGUGAUUUAUUCCCAUUUCUCUGCAUGUCAAAGCGAAGAAAUUCAACCAAGCGCGGGUAAACAACGGGAGUAACUAUGACUCUCUUAAGAUAGCCAGAUGCCUCAUCAUCUAAUUAAUGAUGCACAUGAGUGGAUCAUUAACGAGAUUCCCCACUGUCCCUAGAUACUAUAUUCUAGAGAAACCACAUUCAAGGGAAUGGGCUUGGCAUAAUUAGCGGGGAAAGAAGGCCAUGUUGAGCUUGACUCUAGUCCUAACCCAUUUAUAGUUUGGGA
rnacentral:ncRNA from 1 species